rnacentral:rRNA from 1 species
AGUGAACGCUGGCGGUAGGCCUAACACAUGCAAGUCGAACGGCAGCACAGUAAGAGCUUGCUCUUACGGGUGGCGAGUGGCGGACGGGUGAGGAAUACAUCGGAAGCUACUUGUUCGUGGGGGAUAACGUAGGGAAACUUACGCUAAUACCGCAUACGACCUACGGGUGAAAGCAGGGGAUCUUCGGACCUUGCGCGAUUGAAUGAGCCGAUGUCGGAUUAGCUAGUUGGCGGGGUAAAGGCCCACCAAGGCGACGAUCCGUAGCUGGUCUGAGAGGAUGAUCAGCCACACUGGAACUGAGACACGGUCCAGACUCCUACGGGAGGCAGCAGUGGGGAAUAUUGGACAAUGGGCGCAAGCCUGAUCCAGCCAUACCGCGUGGGUGAAGAAGGCCUUCGGGUUGUAAAGCCCUUUUGUUGGGAAAGAAAAGCAGCAGGUUAAUACCCCGCUGUUCUGACGGUACCCAAAGAAUAAGCACCGGCUAACUUCGUG